UACAGAGGGUGCGAGCGUUAAUCGGAGUUACUGGGCGUAAAGGGCGCGUAGGCGGCCAUGCGAGUGAGAUGUGAAAGCCCUGGGCUUAACCUAGGAACUGCAUCUCAAACUGCAUGGCUGGAGUACUGUAGAGGGUAGUGGAAUUUCCGGUGUAGCGGUGAAAUGCGUAGAGAUCGGAAGGAACACCAGUGGCGAAGGCGGCUACCUGGACAGAUACUGACGCUGAGGCGCGAGAGCGUGGGGAGCAAACAGG
rnacentral:rRNA from 1 species